rnacentral:rRNA from 1 species
AUUGAACGCUGGCGGCAGGCUUAACACAUGCAAGUCGAGCGGGGGAAGGUAGCUUGCUACUGGACCUAGCGGCGGACGGGUGAGUAAUGCUUAGGAAUCUGCCUAUUAGUGGGGGACAACAUCUCGAAAGGGAUGCUAAUACCGCAUACGUCCUACGGGAUAAAGCAGGGGAUCUUCGGACCUUGCGCUAAUAGAUGAGCCUAAGUCGGAUUAGCUAGUUGGUGGGGUAAAGGCCUACCAAGGCGACGAUCUGUAGCGGGUCUGAGAGGAUGAUCCGCCACACUGGGACUGGGACACGGCCUAGACUCCUACGGGAGGCAGCAGUGGGGAAUAUUGGACAAUGGGGGGAAGCCUGAGCCAGCCAUGCCGCGUGUGUGAAGAAGGCCUUAUGGUUGUAAAGCACUUUAAGCGAGGAGGAGGCUACUCUAGUUAAUACCUAGGGAUAGUGGACGUUACUCGCAGAAUAAGCACCGGCUAACUCUGUGCCAGCAGCCGCCGUAA